CCGCCCUCCCUCCCUUCCUCCUCGGCGCCGGCGCGCCGUCGAUCGAACGCACCCAACUUAGUUGCCACUACCAGGACUUCUAUUAAGCAGACUGUAUACACAUUAUCAGAUAAAAGGUGUGGAAAAGACUGCAAGUAGCCAUCAAGGUAAUUCUGAGAUGAGACAAGUGCUUAACAGACAAUGAGACAAUAUCAUUUGAUACUGAAGGUUCUACCCUGAAGUCACUCUCUGCCAUUAUUGACUGAAUGAACACAAAC